rnacentral:rRNA from 1 species
CCUACGGGAGGCAGCAGUGGGGAAUUUUGGACAAUGGGGGCAACCCUGAUCCAGCCAUGCCGCGUGCGGGAAGAAGGCCUUCGGGUUGUAAACCGCUUUUAGUCGGGAAGAAAAGGCACGUCCCAAUACGGCGUGUUCUUGACGGUACCGGCGGAAUAAGCACCGGCUAACUACGUGCCAGCAGCCGCGGUAAU